UGAGAAGAGGCAGAAUUCGGGUC
rnacentral:piRNA from 1 species